CUGAGAAUAUUUUCCAUUUGUUUGCAGUUUUGCUCAUGUCUGCAUCAAGGCAGACAGACAGUGUGGUUAUUGGAACUGGACCCCUUCAGAGUUCAUCAUCAAUGCCACUGAACAAGCUAGAUCUAAAUACAGCUGGACCAGAAAUAAACUGCUCUCACCAGAGUAGAAGGAAGAGGAUGUGAGAGAGUGUGAGAAUAUUGAAAACUGGAGUGGUCUUGUCGUUUUUGCUUGAUCUUGUUUAAAGGAGUGCCCAAGCGAGACUGAUUUCAAGAGGUACCUGCACAGAUGAGGCUGCGAUGUGUCCUGAGUACACCCCCUCCUUCCUUGCCAGGGGGUCUGCAGGUGCCCUGCUAAAUCAGAGACUCACAGGAGCUCCUAUAGAUUCCUUGGCUGAAUUACUGAAAAUGCAUCUCAGGACUCCGAGACCUGUGUAUGGUCAUGCACAGUCAAAUGAAAGAAGGUGAUGUUUUUUGAUAUUUCACAGAUUUUUUAAAAUGGCAGAUUGCAAUUUGUCAAAACUUUUGAAAGCCAAGGAGUUUCCACAGAUCUGCAGGAAUAUCUUCAUUACAGAUUUUGACUUCCAGAGGUUAUGGCUUGUUACUUUUUGCCUAAUGAAAUAAAGCAAGUUUUCUUGCUGUGAUUCCAGAAAUGGAGAAUUUUUGUUGUGUGAGAACUUUAAAAUCUUUCUGAAUCAAAUGAAAUAGGUAUAUUUACAAAU
rnacentral:lncRNA from 1 species